rnacentral:rRNA from 1 species
UACGUAGGGGCCGAGCGUUGUCCGGAGUUAUUGGGCGUAAAGCGCGCGCAGGCGGCCUCGCGCGCCCGACGUGAAAGCCCCCGGCUUAACCGGGGAGGGUCGUUGGGGACGGCGGGGCUUGAGGGCGGGAGAGGUCGGUGGAAUUCCCGGUGUAGUGGUGAAAUGCGUAGAGAUCGGGAGGAACACCUGUGGCGAAGGCGGCCGACUGGGCCGACCCUGACGCUGAGGCGCGAAAGCUAGGGGAGCAAACGGG